AGAGACGUUGCCCUUCGGGGUAUACCUCCCACCCUUUGUUUAUUAUACCUUUGUUGCUUUGGCGGGGCCCGUCCUCGGACCACCGGCUUCUGCUGGUCAGUGCCCGCCAGAGGACCUAAAACUCUGUUUGUUAAUAUUGUCUGAAGUACUAUAUAAUAGUUA
rnacentral:misc_RNA from 1 species